GGCAGCUUGAGUGAGAGAUGGCAGCAGAAGCUUGCAAAGGCAGGGCAUGGUAGUGAUGAUAUUUGCAAAGAAACUUGCAAACCCCCAGUUCUAAAAGCACCCUCGGGAGUGGUCGCGGGACCCGAUCCUGCUCUCUCGGACUGUUGCUGUUAACUUCAGUGGGAGGAGGCUGGGGGCUGUCACCGUUUGCGUGCCAAGCCCCAGACUGUAGGAAUGACUGGGGAUUGCGCCUGGGGCAGUGCGGGACGGGAGCAGGGCGCCUGCGCUUGCCCGUGUUUCUGUCUGGGGUUUGAAGCCGGCUCGGAAACUACCCGAAUUACAGCUGGGCUUUAAACCCUGCGCAGCGAGCUCCCGCCGCUCAAUCAAUCCCGCUUCGUUUUAGGCGGGGAUUAAGAUGUUCAAACUCCUGGUUCGGUUUGAUUUGAUUUGACUUCGUAGCGCGCUGAAAAAAUCCCCUGCACAAUGAACAGGAAACACAUCUUGAAUGGCCGGGGCGAAAAGAACUGGUUCGAUUCAGCCGCUCUGGCAAAGCUGGUGCCUCCCCGGUGGUCAGACGUCUAUGGGGCACGCCAGGGGUCCUGCAGCCAGCCCCAGCCCCGCCUCGGGAAAGCAGGCUCCAGCCCAGGGCAUCCCAGGAAACCAGCCCAGGGCGAGCAGGCUCCAGCCCAGGGCAUCCCAGGAAACCAGCCCAGGGCGAGCAGGCUCCCAGGAAAGGAUAUAGCACGUGAAAUGGCCCCUUUCCUGCCCCGCCGCUGGCUUGUUCUGUUUUGUUUUGCCCGGGACCAAGGUCCUAAGGUUUCUCCUAACGCUCAGUUUAAAAAAAACAUUCUAAUUUCUCUACUUAAACCGUUGUAAAACUCAGGGCCUGAUCCUGACCCUCACAGGAGUUUUACCCUCGGUUUCAUGCGAGCAGGAUCGGGACCUUACCUCCACUUUGCCCCCCUUGAGGGAAAUCGCCACUGAGAGCAAAGGGAUCGGUCCCCGGAGUCUCCUCUGCCCUCGGAGUCUAAAACACACGUUGUGCUGGGCAACAGUUGCAUCAAGCGCUGUUUGC